CGAUGUGACAUCCACAGAGGAACAGAGCAAGGUUCUAUGAGGGAACAUGGACCAAUCCCGUACCCAUGGCAGGUGCCUAUGACAACAAACCAAGACAAAGCUGGGCUUCCCUUCCAUACGGGGCCUCUGGCAUACUGUAGAUGCUUCUGGAACCACCACUGCCCUGACCACCUGCUGAGAGAAGCACAAGUGUGGAACAUCGCAUCCUGGAAAACACACAGGCUGUGCCUUGCAUCUUUUCCAAGGUCCUGUGCCCAUGCUGGACAUCAGCAAGCAUUUCCUCUCACACAGAUCUAAACAUCCAUCGUGGGUUCAUAUUAAGCCAGUAAGCGAUUGGACAGUUACUGUGGGAAGAACAGCCACACAUCCAGAAGCAAUUCUGCCUAAUUCAAUAAUGUUAUUUCAGAGCUGCUAAGGGUUGAUUAUGUAAUAUUCUAGACCCUUUGUGGCAACUCAGCCCAGAGAUCAUUAGUGCUAAAGAUACCGUGCUAUGCUGCAAAUGGCACAGAGAAUUGCCUCCUGACACUGGCGGCACAUGGGAGCAGAGGCUCCUUCUCUGGGCAAAGGGAGACAAGCUGGGUUGUUUAUGUAAUGCCGUAGUGACUACAUGUGACUAUAUGUGAAUUAUAUUUUCACAUAUGUGCUCCUCUGAACCGCUGCUUCUCUUCCCCAAGCCUUUGUCUAAGCGUCAUCUCCUCAGAGAUACCUCACGGCCUCCUAAUCUCUAACACUUUGUGGACUUCUUCCUGCUCAGCCAUUCCUCAAGCCCUUCACAUCGCUCAUGACUACAGCAGCCCUCCACCCAUGGACUCCACAUUCACAGAGUCCACCAAUCACCGGCCAGAUCAGAAGAGAACAUGUCUAAGUGAACACUGACAAACAUUUCCAUCACCAUCUUUCCCUAAACCCUCACGAGUAAUCAUGGGUGCAGUGAGAAUCAAAUUCUUUGGGAUGUUGUGGUUCAGAUAUAAAAGAAC
rnacentral:lncRNA from 1 species